CACAGCUGACUGCCUGUAUUUCCACCAUGAAGACUCUGACUGGCUCUGUGCCAUCAAACCAGUCCUACUGCCUAAAGUUGGGAGGAAACCUUCAGCAGCACAGGAAUGAUGAUUGAUGGGCUCCCGGUUGGCUCAGUGGGUAGAGCAGGCGCACAUAUA